CUCCAAGUGGCCUUUCUCUGCAAACAGACGCUCGACCUAUCGCACCCUGCUCCUUCCAGGUGGGAACGCAGACUCGGCGUUUGCAGACGUUGUGAAGGGACCUGGGCAGGCCGGUCCGGGCUCCUCGCAGCGCGCCGUCACCGUCCAGCGGGGAAGGCUCCCGGGGUGCCCGCGCUUAGCCUGGCAUUGUCUGCGGGACGCGCCCCACAGCCGGCGCGGCCUGCUGUCACCAGUUGGUGGCUCCUCGGACGCCCCCCGGCACCCCCGCCUUUGGGAGCUGCCGCUCUGUCCUCUGGACCCAUGAGCUGGGCGGCUGGCGUGGAUUCCAUGCAGGAGCGAGGUCACGCGUGUUUGCCCGUCGGCCUGGUCCCUUUCGCGCCAGCGACGCCGCUGCGGGGACUUCAUGGAUCAAGAGCGACUCUGGAACAUACGUCUUCACGAACUCUAUUUGCGAUGGUCUGUGCUGUGCAGGAGAGUCGGCUCACAGACACCCAGGCCCCCACACCCCGCGUCCGCAUCUGACCUUCCCCCCAAGAAACGGGCAGGGGCCUGACUGGUCGGUGAGAUGAGGGCCCUGAGGGGCUCGGGCGUGGGGAGGCCUGGCCCCGUGGGCUCUGUUCCCGUGUCUGCGUCAGCCCGAGGUUCGUCAGCCCCCGAGCUUCUGCCCAGGCCCCCCACAGCCCGGACGGCAUCUAAACAGAACCGGAUCCCAAGCAUGUUCCAGGACGACAGGGCGACAAACCUGGGCCCCGCAGACACCCACACCCCUACCCUCGCUGAUUGGUGGAGUAACAUCGGUCGCUCCCCAGACACCCGCCUCAGGUCAGACCCUUUCCUGGACUUGCCAAGAACACGGACCCGGACCCCUUUCCAGGGUAAACCACCACCGCCAAGCCAGGAUCCCAGCCAGGAUUUGCCAUUUCAUCCACCUGUCGCAUGCCCCCAGGUUCCUCUGGCCGGAUCCUACUGUCCUGUAAGAUCUGCCAGGGAGGGACGCCUGGCUGGCUCAGUCGGUGAAGCCUCUGCUUCAGCUCGGGUCGUGGUCUCGGGGCCUGGGAUGGAGUCCUGCAUCGGGCUCCCUGCACAGCCUCUGCCCCCACUGCUUGUUCUCUCUCUCUCUCUCUCUCUCUCUCUCUG